rnacentral:piRNA from 1 species
UACAGGAGAUGGCUCUGGUACAAUUCCU